UACGUAGGUUGCAAGCGUUGUCCGGAUUUACUGGGUGUAAAGGGCGUGUAGGCGGAGAUGCAAGUUGGGAGUGAAAUCCCGGGGCUCAACCCCGGAACUGCUUUCAAAACGGCAUCCCUUGAGUGUCGGAGAGGCAAGCGGAAUUCCUAGUGUAGCGGUGAAAUGCGUAGAUAUUAGGAGGAACACCAGUGGCGAAGGCGGCUUGCUGGACGAUAACUGACGCUGAGGCGCGAAAGCGUGGGGAGCAAACAGG
rnacentral:rRNA from 1 species